CCUACGGGGGGCAGCAGUGAGGAAUAUUGGUCAAUGGGCGCGAGCCUGAACCAGCCAAGUAGCGUGAAGGAUGACUGCCCUACGGGUUGUAAACUUCUUUUAUAAAGGAAUAAAGUGAGGCACGUGUGCCUUUUUGUAUGUCCUCUAUGAAUAAGGAUCGGCUAACCCGGUCCCAGCAGCCGCGGAAAUACGGAGGAUGCGGGCUUUAUCCGGAUUUAGUGGGGUAAAAGGGUGCUUAGUGGGAAUAUCAAGUAAGCGUGAAAAAUUCGGGGCUCAACCCCGUCGUGCCGUUGAAACUGAUGUUCUUGAGUGGGCGAGAGGUAUGCGGAAUGCGUGGUGUAGCGGUGAAAUGCAUAGAUAUCACGAAGAACUCCGAUUGCGAAGGCAGCAUACCGGAGACCAACUGACGCUGAAGCACGAAAGCGUGGGUAUCGAACAGGAUUAGAUACCCUAGUAGUC
rnacentral:rRNA from 1 species